UCGGUUCAUUUACUUUUCAGGUUUCGUGUAUAGAUGGAACUUUGAGAAAUAUUUAGAAAGGCAUUUCGAUUGAUAAAAGUACAAAUGGGAGGAUAAAUAUAAAAAUAAGUGAAAAAUAAACUACAAUUCAAUCAAGUUAAUGAGAUAAGCAAAUUUGAUUUUUCUUUUAGUUCAAUAGAGUUUCAAUAAAUAAAUAAAAUGAAAAAAUCACUCAAUUGAAAAGGCAAUUUCAUAUUAUAGCCUAAAGCUGACACCAGUAAUUGAGGAUGAAGGAGUACUUAUCACUCAAGGGCGGGUGUAGUUGUGUGGUAUCGGGUUCAUACAAAUCCAGUACUUUCUGAAGCAUAAAUUCAUACAUAAAAAUCAGCUAAAAUUGUAAUAAAUAGUAAAUAUGAACCUAUAACUUUAAAUAUCAAAUGAGUUGAAUGUUAAGAAUCUUAACUAUUGAAUCCAUAAGCUAAAUUCUUGAAUCCGCUUUUGUUACCACAAAGGGUGGAGCUAAAGUAUAGCUUACAGGUUCGACCGAGCCCAAUAGCUUUGGUCCAUUAUAUGUAAAAAGAAAAUACAUACAUAUAUAUAUAGGAUUAUUAAUUUGAAAUCUAAUAACUUAAAAAGGACUGGAACAACAACUUGCCCAAAUAGGAAAACUAAACAGUGCAAUUUUUGCUUGACAAAUAUUUUACGAGUAAAGUUAUUUUUUUAAUUGACCACUAAAUAAACUUAGUGGAUAUGUAUUAUUAAUAAAAUAACAAACAAAACAAAAGUUGUCUUAAAGCAAAAAAGAAAACAAAAGUCAGCUGAAGAGCCGACCAUCAAACAAGAAAAAUCAAAAGACCAAAUUAGAAAGUUCUCGAUAGCUAAGAUGCUUGAACGCUGGCGACGACAUCGGCAAGGCUAGAUCGGACUUCACCCAAGGUUAAGUGCUAGCUUCUCUGCUUUUGAUUCACUUUUAGCAUCUCAAAUUCUCACCAGAUGCUAUGAAAAUCAUUGCCAUGGAGUUGAGUCUAUGAGAAAGCCAAAUCUUGUCUUUUCGGGCUCAAUUAGUUGGAGCAACUUACUUUCUUUUAUGGGUUUCAUUAAUAUCGCUAAACUACAUUAGAAAGAAAGAGGGAGGAAUCGAAAGUAAAACAUACUCAGAAGUUUCGUAUCACAUGAACUGCGAAGAACAUCAUAGAGGUCAUAUCACAUCAACGAGUUCAAAUCAAGCAUGUGCGACCUCAACAACAUCAAGAUGAGAGUUUAUCCACAACAAGAUCUAUACAGAGAAGCGAAAUUAAACCUGAAUCAAGAACAUCAGACCGCCAAUGAGAGAGAUAGAUGCUCGAGCAAAUUUAGGGGUUCAAAUAAUUUUUUGUUGCAUCUACUUUCCUUUUUCUUUCCAUUUUUCUUUUUCCUUUUCUUUAUUUUUGGACAGCUUUUGCUUUUAUGUUUUUUUUUAGGAUUUUAAUAAAUAAAAUGGCCAUCUCGAGCUGACAAAAAUGUGGAA